rfam:Desulfobulbus sp. Tol-SR contig_179, whole genome shotgun sequence.
GUCUCCACCAGGAGGGGCCUGAAGGAAUCCGGAGCGCAACGCUAUGAGCCGACAGAGGGAACGGCAUACAAGGUCAUCCUCCGGGCAAGUCAGCACAACAUGACGAAGCCAUCGAUUCAGGAGAAGUCGGAAAUGCCGCGGCUGUGCAGCCACAGUUCAAGAA